GACGAACGCUGGCGGCGUCCUUCACACAUGCAAGUCGAACGAAGUGGCGAACGGGUGAGUAACGCGUAAUCAACCUGCCCUUCAGAGGGGGACAACAGUUGGAAACGCCUGCUAAUACCGCAUACUGAAGGAGGGGAUUGCGUCUGAUUAGCUAGGUGGAGGGGUAACGGCCCACCAAGGCGAUGAUCAGUAGCCGGUAUGGGAGAAUGAACGGCCACAUUGGGAGUGAGAAACGGCCAAGACUCCUACGGGAGGCAGCAGUGGGGAAGCUUCCGCAAUGGACGAAAGUCUGACGGGGCAAAGCCGCGUGAGUGAUGACGGACUUCGGGGUGUAAAGCUCUGUUAAUCGGGACGCGGGACCGGAAUAGAAAGCCAGGGCUAACUACGUGCCAGCAGCCGCGGUAAUUC
rnacentral:rRNA from 1 species